rnacentral:rRNA from 1 species
AGACGUCUACAUUAGAUACCCCUGUAGUCCCAGCCGUAAACUAUGCGCGUUAGGUGUAUCGGUGACCACGAGUCACCGAGGUGCCGAAGGGAAACCGUGAAACGUGCCGCCUGGGAAGUACGGUCGCAAGGCUGAAACUUAAAGGAAUUGGCGGGGGAGCACCACAACAGGUGGAGCCUGCGGUUUAAUUGGACUCAACGCCGGACAACUCACCGGGAACGACAGCAAUAUGUAGGCCAGGCUGAAGACCUUGCCUGAAUCGCUG